UACGUAGGUGGCAAGCGUUGUCCGGAUUUACUGGGCGUAAAGAGCGCGCAGGCGGUCGGAUCAGUCGAAUGUGAAAGCCCCCGGCUCAACUGGGGAGGGUCAUUCGAUACUGUCCGACUCGAAGGCAGGAGAGGGAAGCGGAAUUCCCAGUGUAGUGGUGAAAUGCGUAGAUAUCGGGAGGAACACCAGUGGCGAAGGCGGCUUUCUGGCCUGUUCUUGACGCUGAGGCGCGAAAGCUAGGGGAGCGAACGGG
rnacentral:rRNA from 1 species